rnacentral:rRNA from 1 species
CACGUAGGGGGCGAGCGUUGUCCGGAUUUAUUGGGCGUAAAGAGCUCGUAGGCGGCUCAGUAAGUCGGGUGUGAAAACUCCAGGCUCAACCUGGAGACGCCACCUGAUACUGCUGUGGCUAGAGUCCGGUAGGGGAGCAUGGAAUUCCUGGUGUAGCGGGGAAAUGCGCAGAUAUCAGGAGGAACACCGGUGGCGAAGGCGGCAUCCUGGACCAACACUGACGCUGAGUGAGCGAAAGCCAGGGGAGCAAACGGG